GGAAAGUUAGCAUUGAAUCUAGGCCACAGAGUCGGAGAUCCCAUGGCCUCGGCAUGAUAACCCUGACCUGAAGGACCGGGUCGUUCAGGCGAGGGUCUUGACCUUUCUGGGGAAGGAGCUGGUUGCUCAGGAGGAGUAGGUUCAGGUUCAGCGUACACGGUCUCGGGAGAUGGAGAUUUAUUUGGACUGGGUACUUGGACAGGAGCGGCAGAUGCAGAGCUUGGAUGGCUGUCAGGUGUUCUUUUUCUCUUUCUGGACAGAG
rnacentral:lncRNA from 1 species